UUUGGGCCACCUAGUACUUCUGUUGCUGCAAGCUUUGUAGAUAGAGCAGUGCCAAUGACAUCCAUGAAUGGUGAAAGUCGCAAUUUAGGUGAUGCUAGGCCAAGAGCUGCAGAAGAGCCUGUUGAUAAAUCUAAAAUAUGGAAACCGACUGAAAUUAAUGAACCAUCACAGUGCAGAUUCCUGAAGCUUCCUGACAGUGCAACAACACCGAGGGUUACAAGGUUGAUAUAUACAAAUUCAGGAUACGCUAUAUUGGCAUUAGCUGCUAAUGCUGUGCACAAACUUUGGAAAUGGCCCAGA
rnacentral:misc_RNA from 1 species